UCAGUUUGCCAUAAAGGGUUUGGAGGGUUUUUGAUGAGGGCUGUCUUUCGAUGCCUCAUUUUCUAUUGCUUAUCAUUUUUUAUCGUAAAUCAUGCAAAGUGGAUGCAUUGUAACUCUUACCUAGAAGCAUUUAAUGCUACUUGCUGAAAACAAUCGGCAGAGAUGAUGUAGCCCAGCCCUCACUCAAAAAUAUAAUAUCUUAAGGCUCUUUUAAAUUUAUGCCUUCCUGAACUGAUUCCUCAGAAUUUUCCUGGAAGUAUUAUUCUUCCAGCUGCAUCUCUUCUUCCAUUACAGGACUGGUAAGAGAGAGAGAAGACAGGAGCCAAAUGGAGAUAACAAAGUACAGGCAGACAGUGAAGAGUGGUGAUGAACACUGACUGCAAGACUUAUCAUGCUACAAAUCUGGGAAUUUCUAGAAGCAAGAAGAGCACUCCUCUGAAGUUGGCAUGCUGUACGGCUGGAUCUGACCCAUGCUUCUUAAAACGUAAGCCAUCUGUUCUAGAGCCAUCUGGGUUGGCUUUGAUUCCUGAUGGGCAGAUAGCAUUGCUGAAAGGAAGCAUGUGUUAAAACAGGACAAAAUAUAUGUCGCCAGUCACCGAUGUGGAGCUUUAAGCAGAGAGUUUAGAUGUAAGACACUGAAGGCAGCAAAGUUCCUCCUUUUUCUGGAUAAUGAGAGAUUUCUAUUAUUUUUCAAAGAUGAAUCUUUUCGCAGUAAACCACACUUACUCAGAGUGUUCCUUUUAACAUUUUCAUGUAACAGCCAGACAUUUUUCAGCACAACAGUAUGACCAUCUAUCUUUGUUACGGCAAGAGCUGUCGAGGGAAACAUACAGCAGCAGCCCUUUAAUCUUUUAUCUUGUCACGAAUAAGGAAAGAGUUUACACUGAAUUGAUGUCAGCUUUUCUAUAAAUUGAAGAUUUCUUCCCCCCAUUCAUUCAGUAAAAACAGGUUUGAUUUUGAUCGUAUAGGAAUGUAUGCAUUAGUUAAUAUAGCCCAAAACAGCACCCAAACCUCAAAAUCUCUGAGAUUUGAGAUCCUUUAAAUGUGAAC
rnacentral:lncRNA from 1 species